AGAAAGAAAGAAACUAACAACGCGAUCACUGAGGACGAUGAAGUCCCGCUAGCCAUGAGUUCUACCGUGGUAAAUUCUUAAGAACUGUGGCCGUGACGCGACUUCUACCCACCCGAAGUAAGUGUGGUGUCGACCUCCCCGAGCUGUGCCCUGAAGCAUCAUUUCCUUACAACCUCGGAGCUUAACCGGCUGCUUCGCAAAUGAUCGCUUGUCGGAUCGUAGUGAAGUUGUAGUAGUAGACCAACAUGCACACGGACCUGUCCCCUCACUUGCAUUCCGAGGAAUGCAACAACAUUAUAGCAUUGAUGAAGCAGUGCUACGAAAAGAACAAAUGGGCAAAGUUCUUUGGGGCCUGCAAUGAUAUGGACGUUGCAAUGAGGAGCUGUUUAAAAAAAGAGCGAAUGGAAAAACGUGCGAAGAAUUACGACAAAUCGUACGCGAAGCGACUUCGCGAGGAACAGUCAUGAAACUUGUCCUUGUGUUAGUGCACUGUAGCAGAUAAAUGG
rnacentral:lncRNA from 1 species